rnacentral:tRNA from 1 species
GUGGCAGCUCAGUGGUAGAGCACUUGUCUAGCACAUGUGAGGCACUGGGUUCGAUCCUCAGUCCCACA